GGGCAGUCAUUCUCCAUCCAAUCGGAGGCGAUGUUUUGUGUUUCUGGGCUCGCCAUCCGAUGAUAAACACAGAAGAAAACUCGGAAGUAGAAUUCAAAACAUGAGAGAAUGAAAUCGGGUUCUUGACAGUGAAAAUAGCUGCAAAGCGAAUGUUGAGAUGAAUAGUGAAAACUUUUCCAUAAGUGAGAAGAUUGUGUCGGCAUCCUACAUUCGCCAGGGGUCACAGGCACGUCGCAGUCAUGAGCAGCUGAUUAGACAGCUUUUGGACCAGGUAACUACAUCAGGGGUGUAUUCACAAGGAACCAAACAGCAAAAUGAACUGGCUGUGAUGGACAGCAACAACUUCUUUGGAAACUGUGGUGUUGGUGAGAGGGAGGGCAGAGUGGCAUCUAGUUUGGUGGCCCGACGACAUUACAGGACAAUCUGGUGACAUCGCUGCAACUCAACCUAAGGAUGCAGGUUCCAGUCUGCUGGGCAAGCUGACUAAUUCAGUUGUACUGGACAUUUUAAAACUCAGGUGUGCAAAGUGUGGCCAGUUGUUUUGUAGUUCCAAUGGCAACCGGGAUGAGCCUGACACUGUGCUUCCUAACACUUCGCCACAAGAGACCAAAGGCGCGCUACAUCAUCUGGCCCCUCAUUGACCAGAAGUCCUGCUUCAAUGCCAUGAUCACCUGCAGGUUAAGUACUAGCAUGACCGUGUUCAAUACCACUCUCUGUAACAUUAUAAAAGUAAGUUAUGCCCUACAGUUUCUUGUACUCCCCAUUCCUGCUCUAGAUGCACCUAUCAGUUCAGCUAGUUUUGAAAAUGACUGAAUUUUUCUAAGAGCUGCCUAAAAUGCAUGCUAUACUUGACUCGUAGGGCCUAACUUUUGCAGAGUGUGAGACGCUCCCGUUCAUUCAUCCCUGCUUAGUGCAACAUUUCUCUCUGUUUCUAUUUUCAAGAAUUCGGUGCACGGCUCACACAUGAAAACACAUAAUAAAGUAUAUUGCGCUCUGCUCAUGCCGGCAAACGUUAUGCGUCCACUACCCCACUGUAGCUCCCCUGCAAGGCAACUCUUGUCCAACCCCAACAUUGAUCACUUUUGCUCGUUGUAACCAUGAACAGGGUUUGAACCCGUGGUGGUGAGAACAUUUUGGAAGGCGAUGAGCUGAGAACAGAUCUGGAGUCUGUGGACCUUAAGAUGCAAGAGCUGGGAGCAGAGAACAUCCUUUGUGUCCACUCCACUACUUCUUGCUUUGCCAUCCAAUCAUGGUUAAAUAGAGCUGUAACAAAUAAAAUGUCCAUGUCCUAUUAUCAUGUGCUAUUAUAACUGGUAUCACUGGAAACAAAUGUUAUUUGUAUAGUCUGUAAACUGUUUUAUUAUAUAGUCUACUUCAUGACAUUACUCACAGAAGCAUACUUCCAUAUUAUUACAGUGUAUGUUGGGUGAAGAUUACCAGGGCAUUAUUUGAUAAUGACUUCCCUCUGUUCUGGCAAAUUGGAGGAGCUAGCCACAAUGUGUGCCAAAUAUGACAUCCUCCAUGUUGUCAACAAUGCUUAUGGAGUGCAGUCAUCCAAGUGUAUGCACUUUAUUCAGCAGGUACUACUGCUCCAACUCCUCUUUCAUAAAUCAUAUUUUUCCAUUCCAUAGGCAUAGCAAAGUUAGGUUAUUUUCAUAAUCUCUUCAGGGGGCUCGUGUUGGAAGAAUCGAUGCCUUUGUACAAAGCCUGGACAAAAACUUCAUGGUUCCAGUAGGUGGUGCCACAAUUGCUGGUUUCAAUUAGUCUUUUAUUUCAGGAGAUCAGCAGAAUGUAUCCAGGUUAGUGCUGUUUCAUAUCACUAAGGGCUAUAUGUGUUUGAACCAAGCCUGCAACCUUUUUGUGUAAAGUUGCUAUUACCUGCAUUAGCUACUAGUUUACUGUUAUCAUAGGGCUCAUCUAGUGUAAUUGUUCCGCCAGCCCUCAGUGUCUCUGUGCUCUGUUGUAUUCCUGUGUGUCUGUAUUGUCUCUGCCUGUCUUAUGCUGGUGACACAUUCCAUUUCCCCUCUGAAAUGUUGGAAGUUUGUUCAUUUUGGUAGCACAGGGUCUCGAUCUAAUGCCCAUUUUGGGGAAGCUACUUGGUGUGCUGGAUUAUAUUCCAGCCCAGCACUAAUGCCAGUUUCAAAUAAUCAACAUGUCAUGAAAUCAGGUAUGUUAGUGCUUGGCUACAAUAAAGACCUGCAUGUGGUAGUAUGUGUUGUAGUAGGAUAUGUUGCCUAAAAGAUGAGAAUAAAAUAAACAGAAAUGUCAGUUUGCAACUACAGUGCCUUGCGAAAGUAUUCGGCCCCCUUGAACUUUGUGACCUUUUGCCACA